UACGAACCGUGCGAACGUUGUUCGGAAUCACUGGGCAUAAAGGGCGCGUAGGCGGCUUAUCAAGUCAGGGGUGAAAUCCGGCAGCUCAACUGUCGAAGUGCCUUUGAUACUGAUGAGCUCGAGGGAGGUAGGGGUCUGUGGAACUUCCGGUGGAGCGGUGAAAUGCGUUGAUAUCGGAAGGAACGCCGGUGGCGAAAGCGACGGGCUGGACCUCUUCUGACGCUGAGGCGCGAAAGCUAGGGGAGCAAACGGG
rnacentral:rRNA from 1 species